rnacentral:rRNA from 1 species
GAUGAACGCUGGCGGCGUGCCUAAUACAUGCAAGUCGAGCGAACAGACGAGGAGCUUGCUCCUCUGACGUUAGCGGCGGACGGGUGAGUAACACGUGGAUAACCUACCUAUAAGACUGGGAUAACUUCGGGAAACCGGAGCUAAUACCGGAUAAUAUAUUGAACCGCAUGGUUCAAUAGUGAAAGUCGGUUUUGCUGUCACUUAUAGAUGGAUCCGCGCCGCAUUAGCUAGUUGGUAAGGUAACGGCUUACCAAGGCAACGAUGCGUAGCCGACCUGAGAGGGUGAUCGGCAACACUGGAACUGAGACACGGUCCAGACUACUACGGGAGGCAGCAGUAGGGAAUCUUCCGCAAUGGGCGAAAGCCUGACGGAGCAACGCCGCGUGAGUGAUGAAGGUCUUCGGAUCGUAAAACUCUGUUAUUAGGGAAGAACAAAUGUGUAAGUAACUAUGCACGUCUUGACGGUACCUAAUCAGAAAGCCACGGCUAACUACGUG